GAACGCUAGCUACAGGCUUAACACAUGCAAGUCGAGGGGCAGCGGGUCGAAAGCUUGCUUUCGAUGCCGGCGACCGGCGCACGGGUGCGUAACGCGUAUCAAACCUGCCUCAUACUCGGGGAUAGCCUUGCGAAAGUAAGAUUAAUACCCGAUGUUGUUGCUUUCUCGCAUGGGAGAGUAACCAAAGAUUUAUCGGUAUGAGAUGGUGAUGCGUCCGAUUAGGUAGUAGGCGGGGUAACGGCCCACCUAGCCUUCGAUCGGUAGGGGUUCUGAGAGGAAGGUCCCCCACACUGGAACUGAGACACGGUCCAGACUCCUACGGGAGGCAGCAGUGAGGAAUAUUGGUCAAUGGGCGAGAGCCUGAACCAGCCAAGUAGCGUGCAGGAUGACGGCCCUCCGGGUUGUAAACUGCUUUUAGUUGGGAAUAAAAAAAGGGACUUGUCCCUUCUUGUAUGUACCUUCAGAAAAAGGACCGGCUAAUUCCGUGCCAGCAGCCGCGGUAAUACGGAAGGUCCAGGCGUUAUCCGGAUUUAUUGGGUUUAAAGGGAGCGUAGGCGGAUUGUUAAGUCAGCGGUUAAAGGGUGUGGCUCAACCAUGCAUUGCCGUUGAAACUGGCGAUCUUGAGUGCAGACAGGGAUGCCGGAAUUCGUGGUGUAGCGGUGAAAUGCUUAGAUAUCACGAAGAACUCCGAUCGCGAAGGCAGGUGUCCGGGCUGCAACUGACGCUGAGGCUCGAAAGUGUGGGUAUCAAACAGGAUUAGAUACCCUGGUAGUCCACACAGUAAACGAUGUAUACUCGCGGUUUGCGAUAGACAGUAAGCCGCCAAGCGAAAGCAUUAAGUAUACCACCUGGG
rnacentral:rRNA from 1 species